rfam:Homo sapiens chromosome 1, GRCh38 reference primary assembly.
GCUGGGUGUGGUGGUGUGCGCCUGUAAUCCCAGCUACUCGGGAGGCUGAGGCAGGAGAAUCACUUGAACCCGGGAGGCCAAGGUUGCAGUGGAGUGCCACUGCACUCCAGCCUGGGUGACAGAGUGAAACUCUGUCUCAG